UACGAAGGGGGCUAGCGUUGCUCGGAAUCACUGGGCGUAAAGCGCACGUAGGCGGAUUGCUAAGUCAGGGGUGAAAUCCUGGAGCUCAACUCCAGAACUGCCUUUGAUACUGGCAAUCUCGAGUCCGGGAGAGGUGAGUGGAACUGCGAGUGUAGAGGUGAAAUUCGUAGAUAUUCGCGAGAACACCAGUGGCGAAGGCGGCUCACUGGCCCGGUACUGACGCUGAGGUGCGAAAGCGUGGGGAGCAAACAGG
rnacentral:rRNA from 1 species